rnacentral:rRNA from 1 species
UACGUAGGGGGCCAGCGUUGCUCGGAAUUACUGGGCGUAAAGGGUUCGUAGGUGGUGCGGUAAGUUGGAAGUGAAAUCUUUGGGCUUAACCCAGAGGCUGCUUUCAAAACUGCCGUGCUCGAGUGCGAGAGAGGUCAGUGGAAUUGCAGGUGUAGCGGUGAAAUGCGUAGAUAUCUGCAGGAACACCCGUGGCGAAGGCGGCUGACUGGAUCGCAACUGACACUCAGGUGCGACAGCGUGGGGAGCAAACAGG